GAAACCGUGUACGUACAAGCAGUGGGAGCCCCUUUAUGGGGUGACUGCGUACCUUUUGUAUAAUGGGUCAGCGACUUAUAUUCUGUAGCAAGGUUAACCGUAUAGGGGAGCCGAAGGGAAACCGAGUCUUAACUGGGCGUUAAGUUGCAGGGUAUAGACCCGAAACCCGGUGAUCUAGCCAUGGGCAGGUUGAAGGUUGGGUAACACUAACUGGAGGACCGAACCGACUAAUGUUGAAAAAUUAGCGGAUGACUUGUGGCUGGGGGUGAAAGGCCAAUCAAACCGGGAGAUAGCUGGUUCUCCCCGAAAGCUAUUUAGGUAGCGCCUCGUGAACUCAUCUUCGGGGGUAGAGCACUGUUUCGGCUAGGGGGUCAUCCCGACUUACCAACCCGAUGCAAACUGCGAAUACCGAAGAAUGUUAUCACGGGAGACACACGGCGGGUGCUAACGUCCGUCGUGAAGAGGGAAACAACCCAGACCGCCAGCUAAGGUCCCAAAGUCAUGGUUAAGUGGGAAACGAUGUGGGAAGGCACAGACAGCCAGGAUGUUGGCUUAGAAGCAGCCAUCAUUUAAAGAAAGCGUAAUAGCUCACUGGUCGAGUCGGCCUGCGCGGAAGAUGUAACGGGGCUAAACCAUGCACCGAAGCUGCGGCAGCGACACUAUGUGUUGUUGGGUAGGGGAGCGUUCUGUAAGCCGUUGAAGGUGUGCUGUGAGGCAUGCUGGAGGUAUCAGAAGUGCGAAUGCUGACAUAAGUAACGAUAAUGCGGGUGAAAAACCCGCACGCCGGAAGACCAAGGGUUCCUGUCCAACGUUAAUCGGGGCAGGGUGAGUCGACCCCUAAGGCGAGGCCGAAAGGCGUAGUCGAUGGGAAACAGGUUAAUAUUCCUGUACUUGGUGUUACUGCGAAGGGGGGACGGAGAAGGCUAUGUUAGCCGGGCGACGGUUGUCCCGGUUUAAGCAUGUAGGCGGAGGUUCCAGGUAAAUCCGGUACCUUUUUAACGCUGAGGUGUGAUGACGAGGCACUACGGUGCUGAAGUAACAAAUGCCCUGCUUCCAGGAAAAGCCUCUAAGCAUCAGGUAACACGAAAUCGUACCCCAAACCGACA
rnacentral:rRNA from 1 species